UGGGGAAUAUUGCACAAUGGGCGCAAGCCUGAUGCAGCCAUGCCGCGUGUAUGAAGAAGGCCUUCGGGUUGUAAAGUACUUUCAGCGGGGAGGAAGGGAGUAAAGUUAAUACCUUUGCUCAUUGACGUUACCGACAGAAGAAGCACCGGCUAACUCCGUGCCAGCAGCCGCGGUAAUACGGAGGGUGCAAGCGUUAAUCGGAAUUACUGGGCGUAAAGCGCACGCAGGCGGUUGAUUGAGUCAGAUGUGAAAUCCCCGGGCUUAACCCGGGAAUUGCAUCUGAUACUGGUCAGCUAGAGUCUUGUAGAGGGGGGUAGAAUUCCAUGUGUAGCGGUGAAAUGCGUAGAGAUCUGGAGGAAUACCGGUGGCGAAGGCGGCCCCCUGGACAAAGACUGACGCUCAGGUGCGAAAGCGUGGGGAGCAAACAGG
rnacentral:rRNA from 1 species